GACGAACGCUGGCGGCAUGCCUAACACAUGCAAGUCGAACGGAACCUUCGGGUCUAUGGGCGGAGCGCUACGUAACGCGUGGUAAGCUACCCGUAAGUUCCGAGUAACUCACCGAGAGAUAUGCUAAGACAACUGGAGCUAUUCGGGCCAAGGAGUUAUCGCCGUUGGAUGGGGCCGGGUUGGCUUAGUUGGUUGGUAGGGUAAUAGCAUACCAAGGGGACGAUCCUUAGCUGGUGUGGGAGGAUGCCCCGCCAGACUGGGACUGCGACACGGACUAGACCUCUACGCGGGGCAGCAGUGGGGAAUAUUGGACACUGGGCCCAAGCCUGACAACGCCAUGUCGCGUGAGUGAUGAAGGCCUUAGUGUUGUACAUCCGUCUUACACGGGAUGAUAAUGACAGUAAUGGGAGAAUAAGCUCCGGCUAACUACGUG
rnacentral:rRNA from 1 species